GGCAGCAGCCGCGGUAACACCGGCAGCUCUAGUGGUAGCAAGUUUUAUUGGGCCUAAAGCGUCCGUAGCCGGUUUAAUAAGUCUCUGGUGAAAUCCUGUAGCUUAACUGUGGGAAUUGCUGGAGAUACUAUUAGACUUGAGACCGGGAGAGGUUAGAGGUACUCCCAGGGUAGAGGUGAAAUUCUGUAAUCCUGGGAGGACCGCCUGUUGCGAAGGCGUCUAACUGGAACGGUUCUGACGGUGAGGGACGAAAGUUAGGGGCGCGAACCGGAUUAGAUACCCGGGUAGUCCUAACUGUAAACGAUGCGGACUUGGUGUUGGGGUGGCUUUGAGCUGCUCCAGUGCCGAAGGGAAGCUGUUAAGUCCGCCGCCUGGGAAGUACGGUCGCAAGACUGAAACUUAAGGAAUUGGCGGGGGAGCACCACAACGCGUGGAGCCUGCCGGUUUAAUUGGAUUCAACGCCGGGCAUCUCACCAGAGGCGACAGCUGUAUGAUAGCCAGGUUGAUGACUUUGCUUGACUAGCUGAGAAGUGGUGCAUGG
rnacentral:rRNA from 1 species